rnacentral:tRNA from 1 species
GGAGAUGUCGCCUAGUCCGGUCGAGGGCGCACGAUUGGAAAUCGUGUAACUCGGAAACGAGUUCGAGGGUUCGAAUCCCUCCAUCUCCGCCA